rnacentral:lncRNA from 1 species
GGAGAGGCAAGAGCGAGAAAAGGAAGAAAUCAGGUGCAGACGUGCUGAAGAAGAUUGUGAGGCCGAUGAAGAGGAGGAAGAAAUGGUUGUAGCGGUGUAUAUGCUCAAUGAAUCAAGGCAACACCACCAUCGUCGUAGCCCGAAUGUGUGCAGACAUAGGCAGUCUCGGGAUAAGAAUCUAUUGGAAGAUUACUUUAUCCCAAAUUUGUUAUAUCAUAUUUCUUAUUUUCGAGAGAGAUAUAAUGCAGCUUCAUUUGUUCCAAAAAAUCAUGC